GAGUGGCAAGACUCAUUCUUUGGUUUUUCCUCCAGAAACCAUCAGCUUUCAAUAGUCAGAUGUCUUACAAAGGGAUAUCUGAACCUGUGAAAUGCCAGGCAGCUAUGCCUAGAUACUCCAUCACUAUCAGUCCAAGACAAGGGUCUGAAACAUGAGUGGCAACAACAGAUGCAGAUGCUAUUGAAGAGUGAUCCCAACGUGGCUCCAGGUUAUGACAAGGUUUUGCAGACUCUCUGACUACAUCUUUCCCAAGACUCAAAAGGAGGAGCAAUGCAGUGGCUGGUACCCAUUUCAGCUUGUUUCUCCCCAGAGAAGCAAACCUCCAUUGGUAAAACACACUGAGGUGAAGAAAUGAUUUGACUGCACUGGGCGGCAGCACAAGCGGGAGUGAAGCGCAGCCGGGGAAUGUCCCUGAGCCGCCGCUUCCCCGCCCGGGCUG
rnacentral:lncRNA from 1 species